CGGACCGGGCCUAAGUUCCC
rnacentral:snRNA from 1 species